rnacentral:rRNA from 1 species
AGUGAACGCUGGCGGUAGGCCUAACACAUGCAAGUCGAACGGCAGCACAGUAAGAGCUUGCUCUUACGGGUGGCGAGUGGCGGACGGGUGAGGAAUACAUCGGAAUCUACUUUUUCGUGGGGGAUAACGUAGGGAAACUUACGCUAAUACCGCAUACGACCUACGGGUGAAAGCAGUGGAACUUCGCACCUUGCGCGAUUGAAUGCGCCGAUGUCGGAUAGCUAGUUGGCGGGGUAAAGGCCCACCAAGGCGACGAUCCGUAGCUGGUCUGAGAGGAUGAUCAGCCACACUGGAACUGAGCCACGGUCCAGACUCCUACGGGAGGCAGCAGUGUGGAAUAUUAGACAAUGGGCGCAAGCCUGAUCCAGCCAUACCGCGUGGGUGAAGAAGGCCUUCGGGUUGUAAAGCCCUUUUGUUGGGAAAGAAAAGCAGCAGGUUAAUACCCCGCUGUUCUGACGGUACCCAAAGAAUAAGCACCGGCUAACUUCGUG